rnacentral:rRNA from 1 species
UACGUAGGGUGCGAGCGUUAAUCGGAAUACUGGGCGUAAAGCGUGCGCAGGCGGUUUUGUAAGUCUGACGUGAAAUCCCCGGGCUCAACCUGGGAAUUGCGAUGGAGACUGCAAGGCUAGAAUCUGGCAGAGGGGGGUAGAAUUCCACGUGUAGCAGUGAAAUGCGUAGAGAUGUGGAGGAACACCGAUGGCGAAGGCAGCCCCCUGGGUCAAGAUUGACGCUCAUGCACGAAAGCGUGGGGAGCAAACAGG